UUUGCAUCCGUGUGUGUCUCCGUCGGUUGCUUCAGUAGUGGAUUUGACUGCCCCCUUUUCAGUAUAGCAGUGGGUUAUAUGAAAGCCGUGUAUCCUGGCCUGUGAACGGAUUACAGAGCACAUUAUUCUCGUUUGGAUUCUCCCUUUCGUUCGGGGUGAUUAUUGCUGCAGCUUCGUCAUUUUUCUGCUGUCGUGCGGCAAGAAUGUUAUCUCACAACUAAUAAAGAGAAUUGCUGCUGCUGUCCAAGCGGGUAUAACUGCAGACCGGAGAUCUCCAAAAUGGGGCGUGAACUCCAAAAGUGGGCAGAACCUCCAAAAUGGGGCGAGGUCUCUUCGCGCAAAGACUUUCACCAUUGGCUCUGGCUUCAGCCAAUUGUUAUUGACUUACAUUUCAAAAUAACACUUUAUAAAAUAAACAUUGUUUCUAGUUUUAUCUAAAAUAAAAUAUGAUAUA